UGGGGAAUAUUCACAAUGGGCGCAAGCCUGAUGCAGCCAUGCCGCGUGUAUGAAGAAGGCCUUCGGGUUGUAAAGUACUUUCAGCGGGGAGGAAGGGAGUAAAGUUAAUACCUUUGCUCAUUGACGUUACCCGCAGAAGAAGCACCGGCUAACUCCGUGCCAGCAGCCGCGGUAAUACGGAGGGUGCAAGCGCUAAUCGGAAUUACUGGGCGUAAAGCGCACGCAGGCGGUCUGUCAAGUCGGAUGUGAAAUCCCCGGGCUCAACCUGGGAACUGCAUUCGAAACUGGCAGGCUAGAGUCUUGUAGAGGGGGGUAGAAUUCCAGGUGUAGCGAUGAAAUGCGUAGAGAUCUGGAGGAAUACCGGUGGCGAAGGCGGCCCCCUGGACAAAGACUGACGCUCAGGUGCGAAAGCGUGGGGAGCAAACAGG
rnacentral:rRNA from 1 species